UCCUCUUACAGAGUUAUCAACAUUAACUUUUAAAAUGAUGAAUUUGACAGUAAUUGAAUGUAAAGAAUGGAGAGGUGGAAAUUCUCCGUCAGAUCUUGAGGUAUUGCUUGAUGCAAUAAAUGCAACCAAAAAUGAAGAUAUUGAGCCUGACACCAAAAUAUUCUGGUCUUGUCGAGUGAUGGUGCAAAGGACUGCGGCCAAUUUUGUGUUGCCUACAACGCUCUUGACCAAAUCUCCCUUGAUAAAGAAGUCGAUGUAUUCACUAUUACACGACUGUUACAAAUUAGAAGACCAGAAUUUAUCUCCACAUUGGUAAGUCAGUCAUGAUCUCAUCUGACACGAUGAACUCAUUCGGAUAACGAUAAAAUAUUGAAAUAUUUCUGCUACAGAGA